CCAGAGUCCAGUCCAGAACAAGAGCAACAGUGGAAUCCAACAAAAGGGACCCACAGCCAGGCAGCAGUCCAUGUACACACACCAGAGCAACACUUUUUAUGCAGGACAUGGCCAAUCACAGUCGUGGAAUAGAUUUUUCUAGACCCAUGCUUCCUGUGAGAAGGGUUGAAUUUUCCUAGUGGGGUGAAAGAACCCUAAUUCCCAGAGCAAACCCUUAGUGAAACAUGAUCUGAGCCCAGCACCAAGCCAUCAUAAGGCCGAAACCAAAAGAAGCUUAGUAAUGAAAACAAGAGGAAAUUAUAUGAAGGAAAAUACGUAUCUCUUACUACUAUUUAUGUCUGGCAUAAAGAUUCAGUUGAUUGUCACAACUUAUCAUAUGUGUUUGAGAGAGCAAUACCACAAGAGCCAAAUCCAUGAUUUCUCUCAACCACCAAGCGCCAGCUGUAAACCAAGACACCCCGGUUCGGCAUUACUGCUCUUCAUAGUGGGCAGCUAUUCCCAGGUUGUGUCUGGAUUGGGACCAAAACUCUGAGCGUGGUUAGUGUGCAUCUGGUGAGUUUGUUUGGCUCCCGUUCAGAUUCAACGCCAUGGACUCUUCCCAAACAUAUGCACGUUCUUGUGACCAGACUUAGCAAGUCUCAUUUUCAGUUUUCUGUUGUAGUGAGGAAGAUUCUAAUUUAGACUGUGAGCUUUUAUGAGGUCAGGGGUUGUGUGUUAGAUAUUCUUUUCUAUCUGAGAAGUAGCCUAGUGAUUGCUACACGAUAAGUGCUCAAUAACUUGUUAAACGAAUUCAUGAGUAUUCUUGGUGGUAUAUACCGUCCUCUCCCUUCCCUUCUCACACACUGUCUUCUCUCUAUCUUGGGCCUGGCUCUGAUAAGUAUUCCCAAGAAGGGACAAAAUGGCAGCCUCAUCCACGUUCACAUCAUGAGGCUGCUGUGGUGCAAUGCCCUGCCCACCCCAGCAAGGGAGUUUUACCCUUCGGUGCAGGGUAUAAGGCUUGGUAAAACUCAUCUCCCUUUCCUCUUUGUUUUUCUCUUUGGCAAGACUUGGACUCUGGAAAUUUCAAUGAGUGGCAUCCUCCACCUCAAAAGGUUAAGUGAGACCCCGGAGAAAGGGACAAAGGCAUGGAAGCUUAAGACCUACGGCAGACCACAAAGACAGAUUGCCGUACUCUACGGAGCCAGCCUUCUCUCCCAUCUCCUCCCAGUCUUGUCAAAGCUCCUCCCCCAGCCUGAACGCCAUCCCUCGAAAGAGACAGGAGGGAUUCAAAGCCAGCAGCAGCAGCAGAGUAAGAGACAGCAGACUCCUCCUUUGUGUCAACACGGGUUCUCCAAUGGGGAGAAUUAGGAGAAACAAGAGGAAUAGCAUAACCAAGCUGGUACCGUUCUCUAAGCACCUACUCAGGGAGCCCUGAACUGCGCCCUCCACACAGCUCAGGAGGCUGCUGAACUCCUCAGUGAGUAUGCCAAUGUGAAAUACCCCCCAAAGUCAUUGUAUCCAGGCUUCAGAUGGGACUGUGACUGAGCUCUGUAGAGACUGGAGGGUAAAUCCGGAGCCCCAUGGCCUUAGGGAGGGAGAGACCCACGCACUCCCCAUCACCUCCUCCACGUCCACUACCUGCACCGCAAAGCUGAGGAGGUCCUAGUUCUACUCAUCAGAGGUUAGAAGCUGGUGACAUUCUGCGAGCAAAGAUAGCCCAGUCUAGCUGAGGAGGUGGAAUCCACGCAAUGCUGCCUUAUAUUGUUGCUUUUUAUUACUUUUAUGUAUUAGUCGAAAGUGGCAGGUCAAUCAUCGCUUGACUUAGGAAUCUAAGAUGAUGGUUAUGGUAGAAAUAAAUUUUUUCUUAAG
rnacentral:lncRNA from 1 species